ACCCUAGCUCAUACCCUCGUCCACUUGCAAUUUCUUACUAUUCAUAAUCGCAAUCCCUCUUCAUAACCAUUACAUAACAUUCCAGCUCCCCUCAUCCUUGAUUCUUUCACACAGAAAGCAUCACUACUAAGGUCGAUCUCAUCUCGCCAUGUCUUUUCUCUUUGCCUCACCCCAGCGACUGAAGAAGAAAGGUUCUCUCGUUCUUCAGUUCCUCCACCCUCGCAAACUCGC
rnacentral:misc_RNA from 1 species